AUUGAACGCUGGCGGCGUGCUUAACACAUGCAAGUCGAUCGGUAACAGGUGUAGCAAUACAUGCUGACGAGAGGCGGACGGGUGAGGAACGCUUGGGAAUCUGCCUAUCAGCGGGGACAACCCGGGAACGUCGGCGUAAUACCGCAUACGCUCUACGGAGGAAAGCCGGGACCGCAAGGCCUCACGCUAUACGAGCGGCCGAUGUCGGAUUAGCUAGUUGGUAGGGUAAAGGCCUACCCAAGGCGACGAUCCGUAGCGGGUCUGAGAGGAUGAUCCGCCACACUGGCACUGAGACACGGGCCAGACUCCUUACGGGAGGCAGCAG
rnacentral:rRNA from 1 species